GACGAACGCUGGCGGCGUGCCUAAUACAUGCAAGUAGAACGCUGAAGGAGGAGCUUGCUUCUCUGGAUGAGUUGCGAACGGGUGAGUAACGCGUAGGUAACCUGCCUGGUAGCGGGGGAUAACUAUUGGAAACGAUAGCUAAUACCGCAUAAGAGUAGAUGUUGCAUGACAUUUGCUUAAAAGGUGCAAUUGCAUCACUACCAGAUGGACCUGCGUUGUAUUAGCUAGUUGGUGGGGUAACGGCUCACCAAGGCGACUAUACAUAGCCGACCUGAGAGGGUGAUCGGCCACACUGGGACUGAGACACGGCCCAGACUCCUACGGGAGGCAGCAGAAGGGAAUCUUCGGCAAUGGACGGAAGUCUGACCGAGCAACGCCGAGUGAGUGAAGAAGGGUUUCGGAUCGUAAAGCUCUGUUGUAAGAGAAGAACGAGUGUGAGAGUGGAAAGUUCACACUGUGACGGUAUCUUACCAGAAAGGGACGGCUAACUACGUG
rnacentral:rRNA from 1 species